rnacentral:rRNA from 1 species
AUGGUUCCUAUAAUAUCCCCCAUUUGUGACCAUUCCAGAGAUCAAUUCUUCAUCAGUGCCUCACCAAACAUGGAUGGACGCUCCACCCCUCUGCUCCUACUACUUACCUUGGCCCUUCUCUUUCUUCGCGUCUCCGCUCGCGAAUUCCUCUCGCCGGGCUCCUCUAUGUCCGUAGAGGAUAGCUCCGACGUCCUCCGCUCACCGGAUGGUACUUUCACCUGCGGCUUCAACAACAUUUCUCAAACUGCCUCCAUCUUCUCCAUUUGGUACUCCAACACGGCUGAAAGAACGGUGGUCUGGAGCGCGAAUCAUCUCCACCCCGUUUACUUCAAGCGAUCCCGAGUCACGCUAGAUGCGGAUGGCCGGAUGGCCGUAGAAGACUACGAUGGCCGCCCCGUCUGGGAGAACAAUGUGUCGUCUUCUUCGAGUGCCCAGCAAGCUCAGCUGCUCGACACUGGGAACCUCGUCGUCAAAGGCCAAGGUGAUAUCAUUCUGUGGCAAAGUUUCCAUUCUCCUACCGACACAUUGCUGCCCUAUCAGAACAUUACUAGUGCUGCAAAGUUGGUAUCUGCUAGUAGGCUACUUGUCCCUGGCCGCUACAGCUUCCAUUUUGAUGAUGAACAUAUACUCACACUGUUUGAUGAUGAGAAGGAUAUCUCUUUAAAAUAUUGGCCAAUUCCUAGUAAUGAUAUAUGGACAAAGAAAAGAAAUGCCUUUAGUACUACCGCAAUUGGAGUCCUUGAUAGCUCGGGGUAUUUUCUUGGUAGUGACAACUUAACUCUUAAGGCUGUUGAUUGGGGUCAUGGGGUUAUGAGGAGACUAACGUUGGAUUAUGAUGGCAACCUUAGAUUAUACAGUCUAAAUAAGAUAGAUGGAACAUGGUCGGUCACGUGGAUGGCAUAUCAACAGACCUGCUGUGUUCUUGGUUUGUGUGGCAUUAAUGGAAUAUGUGUGUACACUCCCCAGCCUGCUUGUGCUUGUGCCCCUGGACAUGAGAUAAUCGACCCCAGUGACCGGAGCCAAGGUUGCAGACCAAAAUUUAAUCUCAGUUGUGAUGGACAGGAGAUGUUUCUGAAGCUACCCGCCACCGACUUCCAUGGUAAUGAUCUUAGAUUGAAUACCAUAGUUUCAUUUGAUGAAUGCAAGAAGAUAUGCUUGAAGGACUGCAAUUGCAAAGGUUUUGCAUACUGGCAAGGAACCGGGCUUUGCUAUCCAAAGGGGACCCUUGUUGGGGGUGUAACCGGGCCAAGUAUUGUUGGUGGUUCUAUCCAUCUCAAGAUUCCUAAGACGCUACAGGUCCCAAGGUCCUCAAUUCCUCACUCGCAACCUUUUGGUCCUAAAUAUGUUCCUAAUUGUAGUGUAAAGAGCAAACAUUUCACAGUAAACUUUUGGGAUCAACCUAAAAGCAGUCAAAAUGGAUCACACUCACAUUACCUGUUCUUGGCGUAUGGGUUCUUGUUAGCGAUAUUUUGUGUGGAGUUAAUAUUUGUGGCACUAGGAUGCUGGUUUUUGUUCAUAAGGGAAGGGAAAAAGUUAAUGGGGGUAUGGCCAGCUGAGGUUGGCUAUGAAAUGGUAACCAACCAUUUUCGCAGAUAUACUUACAAGGAGUUGCAGAGAGCAACUCAAAAGUUCAAGGAUCGAAUUGGAUGUGGGGCAUCUGGUCUUGUAUACAAGGGCGUCUUGAAAGACAAGAGGGCCAUAGCAGUGAAAACUUUGGCAGACAUACACCAAGGGGAAGAAGAAUUCCAGCAUGAACUGAGUGUGAUUGGAAGGAUUUACCAUAUGAAUUUGGUAAGGGUUUGGGGAUUCUGUUCUGAUGGACCACACAGAAUAUUGGUUUUGGAGUAUGUUGAGAAUGGUUCUUUGGAUAAAACCUUGUUUAGUAGUGAAAGGUUACUUGGAUGGAGUGAAAGAUUUAAGAUUGCUCUAGGGGUGGCAAGAGGAUUGGCCUAUCUUCAUCAUGAGUGCUUGGAGUGGGUUAUCCACUGUGACAUCAAGCCUGAAAAUAUAUUGUUGGAUGAUAACUUGGAGCCAAAGAUCAGCGACUUUGGCCUUGCAAAACUUGUGAACAGAAGUGGAUCCAAUAAAAAUGUAUCAAGAAUUCAUGGAACUAGAGGUUAUAUUGCUCCCGAGUGGGUUUCUAGCCAGCCAAUAACAUCAAAGGUUGACGUCUACAGCUUCGGAGUGGUUCUCCUAGAACUACUCAUGGGGGCUCGUGUUUCAGACUGGGCAUCAAAUGCCGGCGAGGAAGUGGAAAUGGUCCUUGGAACGGUCGUUAGGAUGCUUACAAAAAAUAUGAUGCUGGAGGGAAGCCAACACUUAUGGCUUCCUGACUUCAUUGACUUGAGGUUGAACGGCCAGUUCGAUAGACUGCAAGCAAGAACGAUGGUCAAGUUGACUGUCUCAUGCCUAGAAGAAGACAGUAGAAAAAGGCCCACCAUGGAAAAUCUUGUACAGAUGCUUGUGUCGGUUGAUGAAGCUAGUGGCACAAUGCAGUAG